rnacentral:SRP_RNA from 1 species
GCUGGGCACGGUGGCGCGUGCCUGUAAUCCCAGCUACUUGGGAGGCUGAGGCAGAAGAAUUGCCUGAACCCAGGAGGCUGAGGUUGCAGUGAGCCGAGAUCACACCAUUGCACUCCAGCCUGGGUAACAAGAGCGAAACUCCGUCUCAA